GAUGAAGAACGCAGCGAAAUGCGAUAAGUAGUGUGAAUUGCAGAAUUCAAUGAAUCAUCGAAUCUUUGAACGCACAUUGCGCCCCUUGGUAUUCCAUGGGGCAUGCCUGUUCGAGCGUCAUUUGUAUCUUCAAGCUUUGCUUGGUGUUGGGUGUUUGUCCUGCUCUAUGCGUGGACUCGCCUUAAAUCAAUUGGCAGCCGGUAAUCUGGUGUUAAGAGCGCAGCACAUUGUGCGCUCCUCGCUGUGUAUUGCGGCGUCCAUUAUGCCUAUAUUUUUUGCUCUUGACCUCGGAUCAGGUAGGGAUACCCGCUGAACUUAAGCAUAUCAAUAAGCGGAGA
rnacentral:misc_RNA from 1 species